UGACGCCAGUUCCUCUUCCUGUCAGCAGCAGGUCAGGAGGAUUUUAGAGCGUCAAAGAAAAACUGGGUCCAUUUCACCCAGGAAGUUGCAGGCUGUUCUCAGUCAGUCACACACUUCCUGGUUUUGCGGGACCCUACACAA